CUCACGAAUCAACAAUAAUGUCAAAUAGAAAACCUUAUUGUCCAAAAAGAACACAUGGUUUCAAAGAAAGACAACCAUUCGGCAUCACAAUGGGUCCAAGGGUUUCAUCACCUAAUGGUAGUGUUGGUGCCAGUGCCUAGCCUGGAGAGGUCUGCUUGUCCCUGAGUGGAUAUGCCUAUCCAGACUGACCCAAGACCAAACUGGUCAUGAACGAUGUAACAGGCAGCAUAACAUUCUCCAAAGCUUCUCCAGACCAGUCAGUUACAUGAGAGGUGAUCAUAUCGCUUUAAGAAGCUCAAUUAUGACUUGCACACAACAAUGUAGUCAUGUGAUGUGAGGGAGGAAAGAAGAGCUGCUCAACAGGAAACUGCUCAGUAAGUUCUGACUACAUGCCAUAGUCAACAGAACAGGAAGAUUGUCUAAGAAGAAUGACUGUUACAAAAACCAUCCACUCUUCAGCAGUGUAAGGUCCUGCUUGCAAUGAAAAGUUACAUGAAGAGGUGAGCAACAGAGACAGAGAGCAGAGUCUCCAGGAUGUCUAUAGAGAGUGAGCAACCCAAAGAUCCUAAUCCACAUUUGAGUACUGAACUUGAACCUUCAAACACAAAACUUUCUGGAUGCCAACUGUCACUGACUCACUAUGAAACCAUAGCCUCAGCUCUAAAGGCUAAGAACUCCCAUGUGACAGAGCUGGACCUGAGCUUGAAUGUGAUGCAGGAUUCAGGAGUGGAUCUGCUGUCUGCUGCAUUGAAGAGCCCAAACUGUAGACUGGAAACUCUGAGUUGAGUCCGUUGUGCCAUGUGCAGGACACACACGGUUCAGCAGUGGAUGUUCCCCAUUUUGUCUGAGUUGCUGGAAGAUCCCUCAACUUAAAUUCAGCUGAUCAGUUGAACGAGAUAGAGCUCCAUGUAAUCACUGAUGACCAAAUCGAGAAGUUGGUUCUUCCAUCAGGGAUCCCACCAACAGAAAAGGAGCUGCAAAGUGUUGUGAAGGAUACCUUUGGGAUUUCAAACGACUUCAGUAUUUUAAACCAAAAUUUCAGGACUACUUCACUAUUCGCAGAAGUGACCAGAUAAAAGACAAAGACACUGAUCAACUGUCAGCUGACUAUGACUCAUCAUCCAAUCCAGUUGUAUCCAAUGCAGACUCUGCUGCAACCACUUCUCGAGACACCAUUAUUCUCAAAAGGCAGAACUUUGUGAGACCUGGCCAAAGCUGUUCCCUAUUCCACAGUCAGCAUACAAAACUGAAAUGUAACUGGAAAGAGCCACUGAGGAGUAUAAAAAGAAUGGAAAUCUUCUACUUUUCCAAAGUAAAGACUGACCUUCUUGAGGAGUUGGCUGAAACUGUAUUUCUAAGAUUCAGAUGUGGAGCUGCUCUCUGAUCUAGCCAAAAAUCCACACUGCAGACUAGAGUAUAUGAGGUCAGUAGAGGGUGUACUCCAUCUUUGCUUCAGAAGUAUUGUGCUAAAGAAAGUUAGUAUGAAAGCAAAACUCAUGUGUUUUCUGUAAAACUUUUCAGUGCCUGCUUGAUUCAUUGAAGAUGUAAGAGGAGACAGACGACAUUCGACCAGUCAGAUGAGCCAAAAAUCUUUUUGUGAUCAGGUGUUUAAGUUCUGUGAAGAUAAUUAGUGUUGUGUUCAUGUCUACAAGAAAUAAAGCUGGAUUCUAACUGACAGCCAUACAAUUUGAAUCAAACUCUCCAAUCUGAUCUCACAUAUUUUUGUAUUCAUUUUAACACUACACACCAGAUUAGCUUCAUCUUCGUGACAGGUCUGAGAUCAAUUUGACUGAAGCAGAGAAAUUAACUGGGUGCUAUUUAAGAAUACAUUUAUUAGCAUGCAGAACGGAAGCUCUGCUACUAUUUUAUAUAUAUUUUAUAUAUUAAAAAAAUUAUAUAUAUUUUAUAUAUAUUUGUCCUUCUCUUAGGGGUUUCAUCCAGAUAUCUUCAGGGACAGUUUCUGUUUAUUAAAAAGUGAUGCAGAAAUAGAUGAGAUGUUCAUGAAAACACAGAGAGCCAUCACUAAAGUGUUGGUACAGUAAUAAACUGGAAGUGAAGUUACCAGGGCUAAGAAAGGAUAGCAGCAGCUUGUGUUUGGGGAGAUGUUCCAACUGGUCAUUGUUACUGGGAAGUGGAGUGAAAAGCAGAGUUUAAUCCAGCAGUGACUGACAGAGGAAUGAGAAGCAGUUCAGAUGACUGUUAGUGCUGCAGAGUGAACUGCUGUGGGAACAGCUCUGCUGUCAGACACAGCAGAGUCCACCAUCAUUCCUGUGUCUCCCUCAGCAGUAUGUCUGGACUGCUCUGCUGCUGCUCUGUCCUUCUACACACUCUCUGCAGACACAUACUGACUCCACCCCCUCUGCUCCAUAUUCACCUGCAUUUUAUUUCAUCUAUUUUAUUCAUUUAAGUAUUCUUUAAAAAAGUCUCUGCAGAAUAUUUCUGAUUAUGACACAACACUGAGAAUCAGUGUGCUUUGAACUAGUGUAGGCUGUGGUUGUGGUUGUAGUGUUUUG